rnacentral:rRNA from 1 species
AUGGUGAAUUCACAGAAAUCAAAUUCAAGUGUGCAUGGUGCACAUGAAGGAGAUGCGGAAGACGAGCUGCCCUUGCCCACCUAUGAUCCGAGUAUUGCGCCGGCUAUCGUGCUAGGAUUGGAGGCCACUCGUGACUAUGUGCUGAAUCUAGUGGGGAGGCGCAUUGACAAAGUUGAGGAAAGUCUAGGAAAAAAGAUUGCUGAUUUGACCGAGGCCGUUCAUCGAUUGAGACCACGUUCACUAUCUAGUGAUGGGUCUGCUGCACCGCGUUGUCAUCGGCAAUUAUCUGGACAGCGGGUAGGCGAACAAGUUCGCAACAAUGGUGACCUUGAAGACCAUCAGUCUGAGGGGGCUGGUAGCUAUUAUGGGCCUGUGCGGCGUGCUUAUAACCAUCAUGGAGGUGGCCUGCACCAUGGGGGAGGACAUGAACGUCCGCGGCGCACCUACGAAGAUGAUGGUAUUGGAAAAAUAAAAAUUUCCAUACCGUCGUGUAGCGGCAAAGACAACCCGGAUGAUUAUUUGGAGUGGGAGAUGCGCGUGGAUCAGAUUUUUGAUGGACAACGGUACACCGAGGAGAAAAAGGUUCGUGCUGCAUCUAUUGAGUUCACGGGCUAUGCUUUAAUAUGGUGGAACCAAUUUUGUCGCGCGGGAGGACGUCCGGAGUCUUGGAAUCAGAUGAAGAGUAUCAUGAAGAGACGCUUUGUUCUGGAGCACUUCACUAGGACCUUGUACACACGCUUGCAGCAGCUUCGACAAGGUAACUCUAGUGUUGAGGAGUAUUAUAAGGAGAUGGAAAUAUUACUGAUUCGUACAGGGGUAGAGGAGCCUGAAGAAGCUACAAUGGCACGGUUCAUGCAUGGUCUGAAAUGGGAGGUACGAGACCGUGUCGAUAUGGUAGAAUAUAAUGGAUUAUAG